rnacentral:lncRNA from 1 species
AUGGCUGCUGACAGAUUCUUGCACUUCGCCUCGCUCGUUUCCAUGGUGGUCUUGGCCGCCGGAUCGAGAUCGCUGGACGGCAUGGCAGCGCUGCCGCGCCGUGGCCAGCUGGUUGCCGGUGGGGACAACGACAAGAACGAGUGCGUGUACACGCUGUACGUGGAGACCGGGUGGAUCUGGAUGGCCGGCACGGACGCGGCGAUUGGCGUGGAGCUCGCAGCGGUGGACAGCAGCGGCUUCGCUGUUGGGGACCUGGAGCGGUGGGGUAGGCUCAUGGGCGCCGGGCACGACUAGUACGAGCGCG